UUCUUUUGGGGUUCAAAACUCUUAAAUACAGUUAUUACUUAUUAUCCAACUCUGAAUAUUUGAUUAUGAUUUUCCAAAUUAAGCCCCCUUUCUUUCAAUUUGAAUUGAAACUCCUGAGUCCAAAACCCUUGCUCCCCCUUCCAUACACACACACACUUUGAAUCUGAGUCUUAGCAAUGGAGGAGGAAGAGGUGACGUGCGUUUUAACGGUGCUAAACGGAAAACUCUGUGCCUCAAGAGCUUGAACAAAAGAUCAAGAAGCUUCUCAACAAUGUCACACAUGCUGUAAUUUCAGUUACCUUUAGUCCUGAUGGUUGACAUUUGGCAAGUGGUUUAGAUAAUUAGAGUUGGAGACCUUAAUGAACUCCCGGACACCACUUUUCACAUGUACAGGACUCAAGAAUUGGGUUUGGUGUAUUGCAUGGUCACCAGAUGGUAAGAAGCUUGUUAAUGGGAACAAUGCUGAAGAACUUCAAUGUUGGGAUCUUCAGAUGGGGAGGCCACCUGGCAAUCCACUUCUUUGUACUUGUGGUAAUCACACGGCCUGGGUUUCUCUUUAAGGCAACACGUUGAGGUAUUGAACCAAUAUGCAAUUGAGGCUUCUGUGGCAACAAAUUUUCCGGGCCGCAUCCAUCAAAUUAUGAAGAGGAAAUGGGUGCAAUUUUUGCCAACCUGGAUGGGGAUAAAUUAAGAGUAUCUAAGUUCUUGGGUCAUGGGCAUUGGGUUAACUCUUGCACGCUGGGGCUUUUGAAUUUGAUCAUACAUGCAAGCAAUUUCAUCUCCAGAAGAAAUGAAGAGGCUAACUGUUUAUUGUUUACUUCAAUUGUUUGUCUUAACCCUUGCAUUUCCAUUGCUCUCCUAAUAUUUCAUACUUGAAUUUACACUUUGCUUUUGUCAUGCACACUCCAUGUUAGUCUAUUAAAUCUUUGACAAACU